AAAUGAAUUGACGGGGGCCCGCACAAGCGGAGGAACAUGUGGUUUAAUUCGAUGAUACGCGAGGAACCUUACCCGGGCUCGAACGGUAUGCGACGGCAGGAGAGAUUCUGCUUCAACGCAAGUUGCGCAUAUCGAGGUGCUGCAUGGUUGUCGUCAGCUCGUGCCGUGAGGUGUCGGCUUAAGUGCCAUAACGAGCGCAACCCUUGUCGUUAGUUGCCAUCGGGUAAUGCCGGGGACUCUAGCGAGACUGCCACCGUAAGGUGUGAGGAAGGGGGGGAUGACGUCAAAUCAGCACGGCCCUUAUGUCCGGGGCGACACACGUGUUACAAUGGUAGUUACAGAGGGUAGCCACUCGGCGACGAGGCGCCAAUCUCCAAAUACUAUCUCAGUUCGGAUCGGAGUCUGCAACUCGACUCCGUGAAGUUGGAUUCGCUAGUAAUCGCGCAUCAGCCACGGCGCGGUGAAUACGUUCCCGGGCCUUGUACACACCGCCCGU
rnacentral:rRNA from 1 species